rnacentral:rRNA from 1 species
UACGUAGGCAGCAAGCGUUGUUCGGAGUUACUGGGCGUAAAGGGUGUGUAGGCGGCAUGCCAAGCGUGUGGUGAAAGCCCGGGGCUCAACCCCGGGUCGGCCGUGCGGACUGGCGUGCUCGAGCACUGUAGGGGCGGGUGGAAUUCCGGGUGUAGCGGUGGAAUGCGUAGAGAUCAGGAGGAAUACCGAUGGCGAAGGCAGGUCUCUGGGCUGAUACUGACGCUCAUGCACGAAAGCGUGGGGAGCAAACAGG